rnacentral:tRNA from 1 species
GCUGUGGUUCAGUGGUAGAGCACUGGCCUAGCAUGUGUGAGGCACUGGGCUCGAUUCACAGCACUGCA